UUACGGCCACAUCACGUUGAAACAUUGGUUCCCUUACGAUCUAUGAAGUUAAGCAACGUAGUGCCUGGUCAGUACUUAGAUGGGUGACCGCUUAGGAAUACCAGGUGCUGUCAG